rnacentral:rRNA from 1 species
UACGUAGGGUGCAAGCGUUAAUCGGAAUUACUGGGCGUAAAGCGUGCGCAGGCGGUUCUAUGAGACAGAUGUGAAAUCCCCGGGCUCAACCUGGGAACUGCAUUUGUGACUGUAGAGCUGGAGUACGGUAGAGGGGGAUGGAAUUCCGCGUGUAGCAGUGAAAUGCGUAGAUAUGCGGAGGAACACCGAUGGCGAAGGCAAUCCCCUGGACCUGUACUGACGCUCAUGCACGAAAGCGUGGGGAGCAAACAGG